CUAUCUUAUUACUUGUGUUUAAUGUAUACUUUAUUUGUAUGUUUAUUUAGAUUACUUCUAAACUAAUUUCUUGUGUUACUAUCUUAUUAUACAGAAUUUAUGAAUACGGGAAGAGAGCCUUGCAUUGUCGACAUAUAGUGAUUUUCCAUUUGUUGUACAAGGCUACAAGCUCAGAUUUUUAACUUGUCUCACAGUCCUACUGAGAAUCUGAGAUUGAGAGCUACAUUUGGCCUAGUUGUUUGUUUGUGUUGACUGUUGCGGCUUCCCAUAACUUGGAACUCUUUUGUUAUGUGUAAUAUGUUAAAGAACUGUUGGGACUUUAGUAGUUUGGUUUAUUUUAUUUUGCUAUGAAAAUUUGGUUUGAAAGACAAUUGAUUGUGUUUUGUUUUGGGCUCUUCAGUUUGGUUUACUGUCCAAUUGUGUAAAUUUCAGAUUGUUGUUUUGUUUUGUUAAGUUCGAACAUUGUUACUAGGACUGUGCAUUUUUGAACUCAGUUGCAUUAUUAAUUUUUAUGAGUACUUAGUUCAGUCA